ensembl:snoRNA Small nucleolar RNA SNORA14
UGGCAUCCUUGAAAACCCCUCAGUCACUUCAAUAGUCCCUGGGACAAGAAAGGAUGCAACAGUGAACUUGGAACUCCAAAGCUGAGAGUAAAUCCCAUGGCUCUUUGCUAUUUCACCUCUAAGACAUUU